ensembl:lncRNA
GUGGCUGAACUCUCUUGAUGCCAGACCUGGUCUCAAUAAAAUGAUGUUGGACAUGCUGGAAAGACGACGUCGGGAAGAUGAGAAUAUGGUGCUUUACAGUUGACGUGAAAAAAAAAAAUCUGGUUCUGCAGGCAUACAGCCCAAUUAGAAGCAUAACUGGCCGUAUCAAUUGGAAGUACAUAGUUCAGCUGAACAAUGUCCAAAAGAAAAGUGGACUACCUGCUGCCAACCGAGUCACAGAUAACCAUGUGAACUUUGCUAAUCAGAAGAUGAAGGU